rnacentral:rRNA from 1 species
AGAUUAAGUUAUUAAGGACGCACGGUGGAUGCCUUGGCACUAGAAGCCGAUGAAGGACGUUACUAACGACGAUAUGCUUUGGGGAGCUGUAAGUAAGCUUUGAUCCAGAGAUUUCCGAAUGGGGAAACCCAGCAUGAGUUAUGUCAUGUUAUCGAUAUGUGAAUACAUAGCAUAUCAGAAGGCACACCCGGAGAACUGAAACAUCUUAGUACCCGGAGGAAGAGAAAGAAAAUUCGAUUCCCUUAGUAGCGGCGAGCGAAACGGGAAGAGCCCAAACCAACAAGCUUGCUUGUUGGGGUUGUAGGACACUCUAUACGGAGUUACAAAGGACGACAUUAGACGAAUCAUCUGGAAAGAUGAAUCAAAGAAGGUAAUAAUCCUGUAGUCGAAAAUGUUGUCUCUCUUGAGUGGAUCCUGAGUACGACGGAGCACGUGAAAUUCCGUCGGAAUCUGGGAGGACCAUCUCCUAAGGCUAAAUACUCUCUAGUGACCGAUAGUGAACCAGUACCGUGAGGGAAAGGUGAAAAGCACCCCGGAAGGGGAGUGAAAUAGAACCUGAAACCGUGUGCUUACAAGUAGUCAGAGCCCGUUAAUGGGUGAUGGCGUGCCUUUUGUAGAAUGAACCGGCGAGUUACGAUUUGAUGCAAGGUUAAGCAGUAAAUGUGGAGCCGUAGCGAAAGCGAGUCUGAAUAGGGCGUUUAGUAUUUGGUCGUAGACCCGAAACCAGGUGAUCUACCCUUGGUCAGGUUGAAGUUCAGGUAACACUGAAUGGAGGACCGAACCGACUUACGUUGAAAAGUGAGCGGAUGAACUGAGGGUAGCGGAGAAAUUCCAAUCGAACCUGGAGAUAGCUGGUUCUCUCCGAAAUAGCUUUAGGGCUAGCCUCAAGUGAUGAUUAUUGGAGGUAGAGCACUGUUUGGACGAGGGGCCCCUCUCGGGUUACCGAAUUCAGACAAACUCCGAAUGCCAAUUAAUUUAACUUGGGAGUCAGAACAUGGGUGAUAAGGUCCGUGUUCGAAAGGGAAACAGCCCAGACCACCAGCUAAGGUCCCAAAAUAUAUGUUAAGUGGAAAAGGAUGUGGCGUUGCCCAGACAACUAGGAUGUUGGCUUAGAAGCAGCCAUCAUUUAAAGAGUGCGUAAUAGCUCACUAGUCGAGUGACACUGCGCCGAAAAUGUACCGGGGCUAAACAUAUUACCGAAGCUGUGGAUUGUCCUUUGGACAAUGGUAGGAGAGCGUUCUAAGGGCGUUGAAGCAUGAUCGUAAGGACAUGUGGAGCGCUUAGAAGUGAGAAUGCCGGUGUGAGUAGCGAAAGACGGGUGAGAAUCCCGUCCACCGAUUGACUAAGGUUUCCAGAGGAAGGCUCGUCCGCUCUGGGUUAGUCGGGUCCUAAGCUGAGGCCGACAGGCGUAGGCGAUGGAUAACAGGUUGAUAUUCCUGUACCACCUAUAAUCGUUUUAAUCGAUGGGGGACGCAGUAGGAUAGGCGAAGCGUGCGAUUGGAUUGCACGUCUAAGCAGUAAGGCUGAGUAUUAGGCAAAUCCGGUACUCGUUAAGGCUGAGCUGUGAUGGGGAGAAGACAUUGUGUCUUCGAGUCGUUGAUUUCACACUGCCGAGAAAAGCCUCUAGAUAGAAAAUAGGUGCCCGUACCGCAAACCGACACAGGUAGUCAAGAUGAGAAUUCUAAGGUGAGCGAGCGAACUCUCGUUAAGGAACUCGGCAAAAUGACCCCGUAACUUCGGGAGAAGGGGUGCUCUUUAGGGUUAACGCCCAGAAGAGCCGCAGUGAAUAGGCCCAAGCGACUGUUUAUCAAAAACACAGGUCUCUGCUAAACCGUAAGGUGAUGUAUAGGGGCUGACGCCUGCCCGGUGCUGGAAGGUUAAGAGGAGUGGUUAGCUUCUGCGAAGCUACGAAUCGAAGCCCCAGUAAACGGCGGCCGUAACUAUAACGGUCCUAAGGUAGCGAAAUUCCUUGUCGGGUAAGUUCCGACCCGCACGAAAGGCGUAACGAUUUGGGCACUGUCUCAACGAGAGACUCGGUGAAAUCAUAGUACCUGUGAAGAUGCAGGUUACCCGCGACAGGACGGAAAGACCCCGUGGAGCUUUACUGUAGCCUGAUAUUGAAAUUCGGCACAGCUUGUACAGGAUAGGUAGGAGCCUUUGAAACGUGAGCGCUAGCUUACGUGGAGGCGCUGGUGGGAUACUACCCUAGCUGUGUUGGUUUUCUAACCCGCACCACUUAUCGUGGUGGGAGACAGUGUCAGGCGGGCAGUUUGACUGGGGCGGUCGCCUCCUAAAAGGUAACGGAGGCGCUCAAAGGUUCCCUCAGAAUGGUUGGAAAUCAUUCAUAGAGUGUAAAGGCAUAAGGGAGCUUGACUGCGAGACCUACAAGUCGAGCAGGGUCGAAAGACGGACUUAGUGAUCCGGUGGUUCCGCAUGGAAGGGCCAUCGCUCAACGGAUAAAAGCUACCCCGGGGAUAACAGGCUUAUCUCCCCCAAGAGUUCACAUCGACGGGGAGGUUUGGCACCUCGAUGUCGGCUCAUCGCAUCCUGGGGCUGUAGUCGGUCCCAAGGGUUGGGCUGUUCGCCCAUUAAAGCGGUACGCGAGCUGGGUUCAGAACGUCGUGAGACAGUUCGGUCCCUAUCCGUCGUGGGCGUAGGAAAUUUGAGAGGAGCUGUCCUUAGUACGAGAGGACCGGGAUGGACAUACCUCUGGUGUACCAGUUGUCGUGCCAACGGCAUAGCUGGGUAGCUAUGUGUGGACGGGAUAAGUGCUGAAAGCAUCUAAGCAUGAAGCCCCCCUCAAGAUGAGAUUUCCCAACUUCGGUUAUAAGAUCCCUCAAAGAUGAUGAGGUUAAUAGGUUCGAGGUGGAAGCAUGGUGACAUGUGGAGCUGACGAAUACUAAUCGAUCGAAGACUUAAUCAAAUU